UCUCCCCCAAGAGUUCACAUCGACGGGGAGGUUUGGCACCUCGAUGUCGGCUCAUCACAUCCUGGGGCUGAAGUCGGUCCCAAGGGUAUGGCUGUUCGCCAUUUAAAGUGGUACGCGAGCUGGGUUUAGAACGUCGUGAGACAGUUCGGUCCCUAUCCGCUGCGCGCGUUGGAUAUUUGAGAAGUCCUGUCCCUAGUACGAGAGGACCGGGAUGGACUGACCUCUGGUGUGCCAGUUGUCCUGCCAAGGGCAUGGCUGGUUGGCUACGUUGGGAAGGGAUAACCGCUGAAAGCAUCUAA
rnacentral:rRNA from 12 species